rnacentral:rRNA from 1 species
GUGGGGAAUAUUGGACAAUGGGCGAAAGCCUGAUCCAGCCAUGCCGCGUGUGUGAAGAAGGUCUUCGGAUUGUAAAGCACUUUAAGUUGGGAGGAAGGGCAGUAAGUUAAUACCUUGCUGUUUUGACGUUACCGACAGAAUAAGCACCGGCUAACUUCGUGCCAGCAGCCGCGGUAAUACGAAGGGUGCAAGCGUUAAUCGGAAUUACUGGGCGUAAAGCGCGCGUAGGUGGUCUUGUAAGUUGGAAGUGAAAUCCCCAGGCUCAACCUGGGAACUGCGUUCGAAACUGCUGAGCUAGAGUACGGUAGAGGGUGGUGGAAUUUCCUGUGUAGCGGUGAAAUGCGUAGAUAUAGGAAGGAACACCAGUGGCGAAGGCGACCACCUGGACUGAUACUGACACUGAGGUGCGAAAGCGUGGGGAGCAAACAGGAUUAGAUACCCUAGUAGUCC